UUGUGUGUAGAUGGGUGAGAAAAAACAUAUGUUUAAUAUAUUUUGAAUUCAACCUGUAACACAACAAAAUGUGGAAUAAGUCAAAGUCAAUACCAUUACAGAGUCACAGAGCAUUGCUGAGAUAGCUGAGUGUGAUGCUUACCUAUAGUGCAGGGCUACACAGGUAUUUAGAGUUUCAAAUGUUACAAGGAAAUGGAGCUGGGAAAUCUGUUAAGUCGCUUAAUCAUUGAUUAACCUUCCUGAACAUUCUAAAUUCCCCAAUUGUUUUUGCCCAGUGAAUGCUUAAAUGGACAUGGACACCAGCAAACUACACUGGGGACAUCAAGAAUAUAAUCUUGGACAGUAUCAGCUCAAGCACACACAUCCUGGUCCACUUCCUGCUCUGCCAGCAGAGAGCAGUGUUUGAGAGCAAACACGGGAAAGUCCCUACCAGUCACCAUCUCCACUGUAGCCUUCUACAUAAUCAGAAAUUAUAGAAGAGAAGGAAUCCUCUCCAGACACACUCCUCUGGUGCUUCCCAUGUAUAUGAAGGAGGUGCGUAUUGCACUGGCAGAGGGGUCGAUGAGCUGGGCCUCAGGAACAUUUUAUCUUUCAAGAUAUCACCGUUUUCAAUUAGAGUUGAUUGAAAAGGGUCACGAAUAAAUGGAGGGGAAGCCAAUCUACAUGUACAUAAGCCUGAAGAUCCAGGGUGAUGAAAUCAACCUCUACCAGCACCUUGAUUUUGAGACAACGAGCCUCCUACUUUACAGAGAAAAGCAGCAAGACCCCCACCUCUACCCCCUAAACCACAAUAUUUACAAAUAGCUAGACACAAACUUCCACCCCUUUCUCCAUCAUUGGAGAACAAUUCCCAGUUCUACUCUGGGGGCUCAUGGCACCCACUCUUCUGCUCCUUAGCAGAGGUGACCUUUAAUCUACGGAUCCUGAAUGUGGCACAGGUGUGCUCCAGCCUGCGACUGCUCAACUUGGGCUAGUACUGCCAGGCCUUUGAGAGGGAGAAGAUUGACGGGACGUGUUGAACACAGUGGAGCCCAGCAUGAUGAGGAAGACCCUGGGUAUGAAGUACCUGCACGUGGGAAAGCUGCUCCGCUUCUAACAUGGCUGGAGGCCCUUACUUGGGUCCUUUGGAGUUGAGCAGGUUGGGUAGUAACGGAUUACCUGUAAUGGGGAUAUGCAAUCAGAUUAUAAAAAUUACAGGGGCAAUCUGGGAACCAAAAAGCAAUAAAGCGGUCAUCCUGCCACUUUUUGGUAACCAGCUGCAUACAUAAAAGGACAUUUUGGAAAAAUGUAUUGCAUAUUUUAUGUUAGGCUAAGUACCAUUUACAUUAGUAAUGGUUGAAGUGUCAUUCAAAAUAAAGGUUACUUUUGGAGUAA